rnacentral:rRNA from 1 species
ACAAGCGGCGGAGCGUGUGGUUUAAUUCGUUGCUACACGAAGAACCUUACCUGGGUUUGACAUAUAGGUUGUAGGGAACUGAAAAGGGACCGACCCUUCGGGGAGCCUAUACAGGUGUUGCAUGGCUGUCGUCAGCUCGUGUCGUGAGAUGUUCGGUUAAGUCCGCUAACGAGCGCAACCCUCGUCGUAUGUUAUAUGUGUCAUACGAGACUGCCGGUAAAAAGCCGGAGGAAGGUGAGGAUGACGUCAAGUCCUCAUGGCCUUUAUGCCCAGGGCUACACACGUGCUACAAUGGCAGGUACAGAGGGCUGCGAAGCCGCGAGGUGGAGCGAAUCCCAGAAAACCUGUCUCAGUCCGGAUUGAAGUCUGCAACUCGACUUCAUGAAGGCGGAAUCGCUAGUAACCGCGAAUCAGCAGGUCGCGGUGAAUACGUUCCCGGGCCUU